UAGGGAAUCUUCCGCAAUGGGCGAAAGCCUGACGGAGCAACGCCGCGUGAGAGAUGAAGGUCUUCGGAUCGUAAAACUCUGUUAUUAGGGAAGAACAAAUGUGUAAGUAACUAUGCACGUCUUGACGGUACCUAAUCAGAAAGCCACGGCUAACUACGUGCCAGCAGCCGCGGUAAUACGUAGGUGGCAAGCGUUAUCCGGAAUUAUUGGGCGUAAAGCGCGCGUAGGCGGUUUUUUAAGUCUGAUGUGAAAGCCCACGGCUCAACCGUGGAGGGUCAUUGGAAACUGGAAAACUUGAGUGCAGAAGAGGAAAGUGGAAUUCCAUGUGUAGCGGUGAAAUGCGCAGAGAUAUGGAGGAACACCAGUGGCGAAGGCGACUUUCUGGUCUGUAACUGACGCUGAUGUGCGAAAGCGUGGGGAUCAAACAGG
rnacentral:rRNA from 1 species